CGUUCGUUAUGUUGACUCCUAUCAUUUUGCAGUUCCCCAAGGCAAACGUGCCAUUGAGUUGCUUUCAGGUAAGGAAGGUAUAAUUUCUCAAAUGGUUGAAACAGAACCUAACAAGGCAUACACCUUGUCAUUUGCUUUGGGACAUGCUGAAGACAAAUGCAAGCAGCCAUUAGCAGUUAUGGCUUUUGCCGGAGAUCAAGCCCAGAAUGUUCACUAUACACCUGACUCUAAUUCGACAUUUCAAACUGCUAAUUUGAAUUUCACUGCCAAGGCUGAGAGGACCCGCGUUGCAUUCUACAGUAUAUAUUACAAUACCAGAACUGAUGAUAUGAGCUCUUUGUGUGG
rnacentral:lncRNA from 1 species